rnacentral:rRNA from 1 species
GAUGAACGCUGGCGGCGUGCCUAAUACAUGCAAGUCGAGCGAACGGACGCGAAGCUUGCUUUUCUGUUGUUAGCGGAGGACGGGUGAGUAACACGUGGAUAACCUCCCUAUAAGACUGGGAUAACUUCGGGAAACCGGAGCUAAUCCCGGAUAAUAUUUUGAACCGCAUGGGUCAAAAGUGAAAGACGGUCUUGCUGUCACUACUAGAUGGAUCCGCGCUGCAUUAGCUAGUUGGUAAGGUAACGGCUUACCACGGCAACGAGGCAUAGCCGACCUGAGAGGGUGAUCGGCCACACUGGAGCUGGGACACGGUCCAGACGCCUACGGGAGGCAGCAGUAGGGAAUCGGCCGCAGUGGGCGAAAGCCUGACGGAGCAACGCCGCGUGUGUGAUGAAGGUCUUCGGAUCGUAAAACUCUGUUAUGAGUGAAGAACAUAUGUGUAAGUAACUGUGCACAUCUUGACGGUACCGAAUCAGAAAGCCACGGCUAACUACGUG